GGGGAUAUAGCUCAGUGGUAGAGUGCUUGCCUAGCGAGCACAAGGCCCUGGGUUCGGUCCCCAGCUCCG
rnacentral:tRNA from 1 species